AGUGGAAUUGCUGGAUCAUAUGGCAAUUCUGUGUUUAACUUUUUAAGGAACUGUCAAACUGUUUUCCACAGUGGCUGUGCCAUUUUACAAUUCUAUCAGCAAU
rnacentral:pre_miRNA from 1 species